AAAAUGAAGUUGGAUCGCUAGUAAUCGCGAAUCAUCAGUCGCGGGAGAAUACGUUCUCGGGGUUUCGUACACACCGCCCGUCAAACCACGAAAGUUGGUAAUACUCAAAAACGGUAGCCUAACUUCUUCGGAAGAGGGAACCGUCUAAGGUAGGAUCGAUGAUUGGGGUUAAGUCGUAACAAGGUAUCCCUACCGGAAGGUGGGGAUGGAUCA
rnacentral:rRNA from 1 species